AGAAUCAACGCUGGCGGCGUGCCUAACACAUGCAAGUCGAGCGCGAAAGGGGAGCAAUCCCCAAGUAGAGCGGCGAACGGGUGAGUAACGCGUGGGUAAUCUGCCUCCGAGUGGGGAACAACAUCGGGAAACUGGUGCUAAUACCGCAUAACAUCGUUGGGUCUUCGGAUCUGACGAUCAAAGCCGGGGACCGCAAGGCCUGGCGCUUGGAGAGGAGCCCGCGUCCGAUUAGCUAGUUGGUGGGGUAAUGGCCUACCAAGGCUUCGAUCGGUA
rnacentral:rRNA from 1 species